AGUGAACGCUGGCGGUAGGCCUAUCACAUGCAAGUCGAACGGCAGCACAGUAAGAGCUUGCUCUUACGGGUGGCGAGUGGCGGACGGGUGAGGUAUACAUCGGAAUCUACUUUUUCGUGGGGGAUAACGUAGGGAAAAUUACGCUAAUACCGCAUACGACCUACGGGUGAAAGCAGGGGAUCUUCGGACCUUGCGCGAUUGAAUGAGCCGAUGUCGGAUUAGCUAGUUGGCGGGGUAAAGGCCCACCGAGGCGAUGCUGCGUAGCUGGUCUGAGAGGAUGAUGAGGCACACUGGGACUGAGACACGGUCCAGACUCCUACGGGAGGCAGCAGUGGGGAAUGUUGGACAAUGGGCGGAAGCCUGAUCCAGCCAUACCGCGUGGGUGAAGAAGGCCUUCGGGUUGUAAAGCCCUUUUGUUGGGAAAGAAAAGCAGCAGGUUAAUACCACGCUGUUCUGACGGUACCCAAAGAAUAAGCACCGGCUAACUUCGUG
rnacentral:rRNA from 1 species